rnacentral:misc_RNA from 1 species
GUCUAUUCAGCUGUCUUUGCAAGUCUCUCUACAGUUAAGUAACAGCCGAAAUCUAAUGAGACAGGGAUGGAAAUCGAUUUGAAGGAGAAGACAUUUGUCGAAGUCGACGGCACCAACUCAGGAGACGGCGGUGGAGAAGACGGCGCCGGCAGCGGAGAUGAUUUGUUGCUGGCUGUAGGAGAGGGAGGCGGAAGCGGCCAAGCAUGUAGAGACAGAGUUAAAGGCCCUUGGUCCCCUGAAGAGGAUGCGAUCCUCAGUCGAUUAGUCAGCAAAUUUGGCGCCAGGAAUUGGAGCUUGAUCGCCCGAGGAAUCGCCGGGAGAUCUGGUAAGUCUUGCCGGCUCCGGUGGUGUAAUCAGCUUGACCCGGCUGUUAAGCGCAAGCCAUUUACUGAUGAGGAAGAUCAUAUCAUAGCUGCGGCCCAUGCAGUUCAUGGAAAUAAAUGGGCAGUAAUUGCAAGACUUCUACCAGGUAGAACAGAUAAUGCUAUUAAGAACCAUUGGAAUUCUACUCUAAGACGGAGAAGCACAGAGCGUGAGAGGUUAAGGUUGGCGUCUGGAAAUGUGGACCAAGAUGCUACCUUGGACAAAGCCAAAGCAUCAUCUGAAGAAACUCUGUCUUGUGGGGAUGCAAAUUCAUUUAAAUCUUUUGAAGGAAAAGACGGAAGCUCUUUGGAUAAUAUGAAUGAUCAGUGUGAAGAAAAAGCACCAUUAGAGGUUCCAUCAAAUAAUGAAGCAAAAGAAUCAUCUACGCUUUUCCGUCCCAGGGCACGUGUUAGUGCAUUCAGUGUUUAUAAUCCUGUGGACGGCCCAGAAAUUGCUUCACCGUGUUCAAGGCCAGUUCCAAUGGUAGGACCUUUGAUUCAAGCUUCAAUACCAGAUGAUGGAAUUUGCAAAUUGCUUGAUGGGAUUUACAAUGAGCGGUUGGUUCCUCAGCAGUGUGGCCAUGGCUGUUGUGAGGCCCAAAAUGGUAAUAAUCCUCGGAAUUCUUUGUUGGGUCCAGAAUUUGUGGAUUUCCUAGAUCCCCCAUCUUUUCCAAGUUUUGAGUUGGCUGCCAUAGCAACAGAUAUAAGUAACCUUGCUUGGCUCAAAAGUGGAUUGGAGAAUAACAGUGUCAGAGUCAUGGGUGACACUGCUGGCAGAAUAGCACCUCAUGGAUCUCAAGCGCAAAUGGGGCAUCUUUAAGAAAGCAGGGUGAGUGGUAAUUUCCUUUUUGACAAGGGAAAGCAAGUUAAUGGGUGUCGCAACCAACAUGAUAUGAUCAUAGAUUGGUAGCCCUUUUCAUUUUGCACUGGUUAUCAUCAGGGUUUUGGAUUGAGGUGAACAAUGGCAUCUCCAUGUUUAACUGGGGUUGCUAAAAGACUAACAUAUUUAUAAGAAUGAUAUAUAUUGUCGAAAGAGCUAGAUCUUCCCCCAACAUAUUUAUAAGAAGGAUAUAUACUGAGCUAGGUAUUAUAUUGUCGAAAGAGCUAGAUCUUCCCC